UUUUGGACAAUGGGCGCAAGCCUGAUCCAGCAAUGCCGCGUGCAGGAAGAAGGCCUUCGGGUUGUAAACUGCUUUUGUACGGAACCAAACGGUCCUGGUUAAUACCUGGGGCUAAUGACGGUACCGUAAGAAUAAGCACCGGCUAACUACGUGCCAGCAGCCGCGGUAAUACGUAGGGUGCAAGCGUUAAUCGGAAUUACUGGGCGUAAAGCGUGCGCAGGCGGUUUUGUAAGACAGGCGUGAAAUCCCCGGGCUUAACCUGGGAAUGGCGCUUGUGACUGCAAAGCUGGAGUGCGGCAGAGGGGGAUGGAAUUCCGCGUGUAGCAGUGAAAUGCGUAGAUAUGCGGAGGAACACCGAUGGCGAGGCAAUCCCCUGGGCCUGCACUGACGCUCAUGCACGAAA
rnacentral:rRNA from 1 species